ACCGUUUCUUGGUCUUUUGGCUAAGAUCAGGUGUAGUAUCUGUUCUUACCAGUUUAAGAUACCAAGAAGAUUCUGCUACGCACGGUCUCCGUGUUGGUUAAGUCCGCACCAUCCCCGUUGCCUCUUAAGGAAGAUGCUUGCACAUAAGCAGGCUUCCUUCUUUGU
rnacentral:snRNA from 1 species